CUUGAGAGAGAUACUUUCCAGGUAGGAAGGUGAUGGGCAAGGAGUACUGGUCUGUUCUGGAACCUGCUAGUUCUUUUGAUAGGUAAACAUAGGCUUGAGAAAUAUUAUGAAGAGAUUUUUAAGAGAUGCUAAUGACUUUGAGCUUUGGUGCAACUACUCAAAGGUUCAGGGUAAUAAUAUUCUCCUCAGUUCUGCUCUUAAGAAAGACCCUCUGGAGUAACUUGGAAGAAAUUUUUAUCUUUUUUCCCCCCUACAGCUAAUUUGGUCUGUUACACUCUUACCUUAGUAAGCAUCACUUCAGUUACCAGUUCUUCAGUGUCCUAGCUCUUUCCUUUCCAAACUUAACUGUGGAUUCCUGAGUCCUCCAAGUCCAAGCACUCUGUUAACAUUUCUCUUUCUGGGCUUUAUUGGGCUCAACCUACACCCUCAAAACUAUCUUUCACACUGACUGAUCUUUUUAAAGCAGAGUUCCAAAGACUUCAACAGCUCAGACUUAAAUAUGCAGUGAACCUUCCAGCCUUUAGUUUGGCAGUGGGUUCUGCACCUUCCUCUACCUCCCCAUAUUUCCAUUCAAAACCUUUCAGGACUGUCCUGGUCUUACUAAACACAUUUUUUCUCAGUGCUACCACCACGCUUCGGCUUCCAUACUAGCCUCCACCCUGCUUUUGUUUGCUGUCCCUUUUCCUGCUUGAUGCCUUCCUCUUUCAUGGCGCCCCUAGUGAGCCCCUAGUGAUUGUUUCCUUCCCUGGACUCCUACACCAGCAAAGAAACCACCAAUCGGGUUCUUGGCACAUGAUGUUUUAUACUGUCGUCGUUUUUUUGUUUUUUCUUACAUGUUCUUAAGCCAUCUUUGAAUGGGUAUCUUUCAGGCCUUAAGGGAGGAGUAGGAUGACAGGGAAAACCCUGAGGACUAGUCUCAAGUCUGAUGCUCUAUAGCUUGGGGAAACUCCAUCAACCUCUCUGACCUUUUGUUCCCCCAUCUGUCAAAUGCCAAGUUGUGCAAGAGUGGAUUUUGGUCUGGAUUUGCUUCUGAUGUCCCCUUCCUUUCCUUGAGCACGGCAAGCAUCCAAAAGUGAAUGAUGGUGCUGUCUCAGAACAGACUUCUACAAAGGACACUGACAAGCUAGAGGCAUUUCUUCUAGGUUUUUAUGGGCCCUUCAUAGGCCUUGUAUGCCUCUGUAUCCCCUCAUGCUCAAACAGGUAAACAGAGACCAUGACGCCAAAGCUACAAGUUUGGGAGCCAGGUGUCCGGGACUGACCCAGAGCUGUUUCCCACCAUGCUAUUUCAGGCUCUUAGGACGUGGGACGGUGGAAUGUCAGCAUUGGAAGACAGGGAUCUUAAAGCUCAGCUGACUCAGCUCCUGGUACUUGCAUGCCCAUAGGUCAUCGCAAGAUUGCCACCAACAAAUUUGAGACAUUUUUGAAGAAUUGGCUUUAAUAAGCUUUGAUGUUUAAUAAGAAUGGAAAGCUCCCUGGAUGUUUAGCAAGUGAUGUACCCAUGUGACUGGUUUCUCUGCAAACAACUGUGAGUAGAGGUACCUGUGACCCAGGACAGAUCAUGCAGAUGAGGACAGUGUCCAAGGGAAUCUCAGCCAAUAAAGGAGAAGACAACGGGGUCCCUAACGACUGGGUAGCACAGCUGCCAACCAACCUGGAUGACUUACUUCAGGACUAUUAUAUGGGAGAGAAAUAAACUAUUUUUAAAGCCAUA